CACGUAGUUAGCCGGUGCUUAUUCUUCAGGUACCGUCAUUAGCCCAAGGUAUUAACCUGGGCCGUUUCUUCCCUGACAAAAGAGCUUUACAACCCGAAGGCCUUCUUCACUCACGCGGCAUUGCUGGAUCAGGCUUGCGCCCAUUGUCCAAAAUUCCCCACUGCUGCCUCCCGUAGGAGUCUGGACCGUGUCUCAGUUCCAGUGUGGCUGGUCGUCCUCUCAGACCAGCUACUGAUCGUCGCCUUGGUAGGCCUUUACCCUACCAACUAGCUAAUCAGAUAUCGGCCGCUCCAGGAGCAUGAGGUCUUGCGAUCCCCCACUUUCAUCCAUAGAUCGUAUGCGGUAUUAGCGUAACUUUCGCUACGUUAUCCCCCACUCUUGGGUACGUUCCGAUAUAUUACUCACCCGUUCGCCACUCGCCGCCAGGUUGCCCCGCGCUGCCGUUCGACUUGCAUGUGUAAAGCAUGCCGCCAGCGUUCAAUCUGAGCCAGGAUCAAACU
rnacentral:rRNA from 1 species